UACGAAGGGGGCUAGCGUUGCUCGGAAUUACUGGGCGUAAAGGGCGCGUAGGCGGUUUCGUUAGUCAGGCGUGAAAUUCCUGGGCUCAACCUGGGGACUGCGCUUGAUACAGCGAGACUUGAGGUCAGAAGAGGGUCGUGGAAUUCCCAGUGUAGAGGUGAAAUUCGUAGAUAUUGGGAAGAACACCGGUGGCGAAGGCGGCGACCUGGUCUGAAACUGACGCUGAGGCG
rnacentral:rRNA from 1 species